CAUGGGUCAAGGAAUCACAAAGGUAGUUGUAUUUAGGAGCUUACUUGCAUCAGGCACAUUGGCAACUAUUUGUUCUCCACCCAAGGGAAAACACGGUCGUUUGGUUUUGUUCUCUGAGGAAGAAGCCUGAUAUUAACAUCAAAGGCGCAAUUAACAGUGCAAUGAAGACAAUAACCAGUUCUUUUGAAGGCAUGUCUAAUCAAGGUGCACCUCGGUGGGUUGAACCCAAGACUAAUGUGCAAAGUGGAGGGUUUGAGUGCGGAUAUUAUGUCAUGCACUGGAUGUGGUGCAUCGUGACUGCCGGUUUGAAGGAUGACUGGCACAAGUGGUUUUCUGAUGGCUCAUCGUUAGAUGUGGAGGCCAUCACAACAGUUCGACAGAAAUGGGCAACUUACUUUUUAUCUUUUAGGAAAAGCAGUUGCUAAAUUUGAUUUGUAUUAUGUAAAAGUGCAUUUUUCCUGUGGUUUCAUCAAAGAAUUAGAACAAUUAUGGCUACAACUUUGUAUGUUGGAUACAUUAGAGGAUCAUUACUUCAAAAAAGGGUAUUCAAUUUGCAUGGACUUAUAUAUGUAGGAUGCAUGUCAUUUGAUGCUAUUGUUCAGAUUUCAUUUGAUGUUAUUAUUUAA